rnacentral:rRNA from 1 species
AUUGAACGCUGGCGGCAGGCCUAACACAUGCAAGUCGAACGAGUGGCGGACGGGUGAGUAAUGUCUGGGAAACUGCCUGAUGGCGGGGGAUAACUACUGGAAACGGUAGCUAAUACCGCAUACUAUCGGAUGUGCCCAGAUGGGAUUAGCUAGUAGGUGGGGUAAAGGCUCACCUAGGCGACGAUCCCUAGCUGGUUUGAGAGGAUGACCAGCCACACUGGGACUGAGACACGGUCCAGACUCCUACGGGAGGCAGCAGUGGGGAAUAUUGCACAAUGGGCGCAAGCCUGAUCCAGCCAUGCCGCGUGUAUGAAGAAGGCCUUCGGGUUGUAAAGUACUUUCAGCGGAGAAGCGUUACCUGCAGAAGAAGCACCGGCUAACUACGUGCCAGCCGCCGCGGUAAUUC